CAUGCAAGUCGGACGGGAUUUUGGAGCUUGCUUCAAAUGAGAGUGGCGCACGGGUGCGUAACACGUAUGUAACCUACCUUUAUCAGGGGGAUAGCCUCUCGAAAGAGAGAUUAAGCCCGCAUAAAAUCACAGCACAGCAUUGUGUAAUGAUCAAAUAUUUAUAGGAUAAAGAUGGGCAUGCGGAACAUUAGCUAGAUGGCGGGGUAACGGCCCACCAUGGCCAUGAUGUUUAGGGGAUCUGAGAGGAUGGCCCCCCACACUGGUACUGAGACACGGACCAGACUCCUACGGGAGGCAGCAGUAAGGAAUAUUGGUCAAUGGGCGGAAGCCUGAACCAGCCAUGCCGCGUGCAGGAAGACGGCCCUACGGGUUGUAAACUGCUUUUGUACCGGAAUAAACCUUUGGUCGUGACCGAAGCUGAAUGUACGGUAAGAAUAAGGAUCGGCUAACUCCGUGCCAGCAGCCGCGGUAAUACGGAGGAUCCAAGCGUUAUCCGGAUUUAUUGGGUUUAAAGGGUGCGUAGGCGGCUUGUUAAGUCAGAGGUGAAAGGCGGUAGCUUAACUAUCGGAGUGCCUUUGAUACUGAUGAGCUUGAAUGCAGCUGAGGUAGGCGGAAUGUGACAAGUAGCGGUGAAAUGCAUAGAUAUGUCACAGAACACCGAUUGCGAAAGCAGCUUACUAAAGUGUGAUUGACGCUGAGCACGAAAGCGUGGGGAUCAAACAGGAUUAGAUACCCUGGUAGUCCACGCCCUAACGAUGAAUACUCGAUGUUGGCGAUAUACGGUCAGCGUCUAAGCGAA
rnacentral:rRNA from 1 species